UCUCGGAGCGUUUGAGACGCUCGUUGCCUCACGUCUGAAGCAAGAGAGUACGGAAAGUUGUUAAAUAUGUAAGUGUACCUUAUCGCUGGCCUCUUUUGUUGUUAUCCUCCUACCCCGCUACAUUAGCCGGAAGAGGGCUUGUUAAAGUCUGUAACUGUCAUGGAAAGUGGACUCGGGACAGUUUCCAUGGAAACAAAACGCCAGUUUUGCUAUACCGGAAGUCGCGCCCAUAUAUCACGGAAAGACUCACGGGGGCCUAGGAAUAAGGUGCAUAGGUUAGAUUACAUCUCAAGAUUGUGCUUCCUUCCUCCUCCAGAAAGGAGACAUCAUCCACAUUAUCGAUAAGCCUCCCGUGGGCACAUGGACAGGAAAACUCCACCACAAGGUGGGCUCCUUUAAGUUCAUAUACAUCAAUCUCCUGCCCGACGAGAGCCCCCCUGUCAGGCGAAGACGUUGUGACAGCAAGACCAACAGAAACAAGUCCAAACCAUCCACCCUGGAGGAGGUGCUGGACUGCAUUGGGCUGAUGGAGUUGUCUUCCUUGCUGUCCAUGCAUGGAUUUCAGAACCUGGAAGACUUCACGGGUUUGAGGGAGUCUCAUCUCAAUGAACUGAACAUCACUGACCCGGAUCAACGCGCCAAGAUCCUGAGCGUUGCCGACCUGCUCCGAGACCGUAGGUUUUAGUGAUCCUCCUUAAUGUCUCUCUCUUCAACUCGUUUAACCAAAAUUAAAAGGAGACUUUUGCACAUUUUUCACAAUCUGAAUCAGUAGCUUUACGACAUCUAUCAUCAUUAUUAAAUCAGUUAAAAUUCACAAAUGAUAGAGUUGGAGCACACUUGAUAGUCAUUUCUCCUUCCCACUCUUGUUCAAAUCACCGCAUUUUGAGGGUCAUGCCUGUGCACAAAGCAAUGGCGUUGCGACAAAGGCAGCAGCUAUACUCAAUAUUGCCGACUUCAUCCUCAUACUUAGCCACUUCUCUGACCCCCCUCGCAACUAUUUUUCCAAAAAGCCACGGGCAGCAAAUUCAGCGCCUAUUCAGGAUGUUAUUGAUGACUCCGAGACUCCCUCCAAAGCAGGAGAUGUCUACUGACUGCAAAUGAAUGACGUGCUUUCACAAAGCCACUAAUGGCUAAUUUAAUGAUUUUGAAGCCUCAUUUUAUUUCCUUGGCAAUUCUUCUCUUCUCUCUGGUGUGUGAAGCUUUACAUGACAAAUUAGUUUUCAUUUGACAAGGAUUGUAAAGGUAUUAGAAGUCAAUUUUCCAUCAUAUCUUUAGAAAGUCUGCGCUGUCAGUCAGAAAGUCAUCUCGUAGUCCCUCUGACACAGGAAGUGUGCUUGUCGGGAAUCUGUUAUGCUACCAUCCCACUUCUUUGCCUCAGCCAUGUAACGACAAAUUUUUUACUGCUCUCUUAUGCAGCUUUACACUCACUCUCAUGUUCAAUCUUUUGUAAGACAUCUUGACAUUCGAGCUCAUCUCGCUUGCACACACGUUUUCAUUUCCUCCGCACUCAGUCUGCGGUAGCUGUGAAAUGAAAUGAAUUGCAGCAACUCUUUGCUACCCCCUAAAAAAAAAAAAAAAAAAAAAAAGCUGCAAAGAUUGAUCAAAUCCAGCAUGUUGUAAUAUUGCCAGAAAAAAGUCACAAUGUUCCCAGAACAGUUUACAACACAUUAAAGAACAAAUCUCGAACAAGGUAAAAUGUUAUAUUAUCAAAAUAGACUUGCAAAGUUACCAGAAAAGUCUUAAUGUCCUCAUAUUACUGGAAAAAUGUGAAAAAGUUACAAUGAUAAAGUCGUAAUAUUAGAACAAAAAAGUU